GUUGUCGCGCUGCCAUGGAGACGGUUGCCACGCGCACCGGCGUGUUUACGGUGUGUUUUAAAUAUCCCGGCCUGAACUCCCGGCCUGAGAGAGGAACAAAGAGCGCGCGCGCACUCGCGUGAGCAUGCGUGUUCGUGUGUGUGUGUGUGUGAUAAGGAAGAGAUGACAGAUAGCCGUGUGGUGUGCUGGACAGAUUGUCUUUGUCUCUGGCCUGGAGGAAACUCCUCCAUAUACAGCUGGUACGGUUCACAGUGAAACGAAACAGCGUUCCUCCAGCGUUCCUCCAUGGUGCUACAUAAAACAACACACUAACCACAUGAGACGACACGGAACUAAACACGACCUGCAUAAAGUGCACGUGCAAGUGUGUGCUAACAACACAGGACAGUACAGUACUACUAAACUAAAUGUCUACGAUGGAGGGAAGAGAGACCCCGAGGAUCUUCUCAGCUGUCCUCACUAUCCGCUGCAGGGUCUUGCGAUACGUUGAGGUGCAAUUUCCGAACCAGACAGUGAUGCAGCUGCUCAGGAUGCUCUCGAUGGUUCUCUGUAGAACGUGGUGAGGAUGAUGGAUGGGAGAUGGGCUUUUUCAGCCUUCGCAGAAAGUAGAGACGCUGCUGGGGUUCCUUAGAUUUGGAGCUGGUGUUGAGGAACCAGGUGAACACCAAGGAAUUUGGUGCUCUUGACGAUCUUCACGGAGGAUCCUUGGAUAUUCAAUGGAGAGUGGGCGCGCCGUGCUCUCCUGAAGUCAACAACCAUGUCUUUUGUUUUGUCCAUGUUGGCUCUGCACCAGUCCAUUAAUCGCUGCACCUCCUCUCUGUAUGCUGACUCGUCGCUCUUGCUGAUGAGACCCACCAUGGUUGCGUCACUGGCGAACUUGAUGAUCUGGUUGGAGCUGUGCGUUGCUGCACAGUCGUGAGUCAGCAGAGUGAACAGCAGUGGACUGAGCACACAGCCCUGAGGGACCCCCGUGCUCAGUGUGGUGGUGCUGGAGAUUCUGUACCCGAUCCGGACUGAUUGAGGUCUCCCAGUUAGGAAGUCCAGUAUCAAGCUGCAGGUGGAGGUGUUCAGGCCCAGUAGGUUCAGAAGUCAGCCAAUCCUGGUCUUCGUUGUAAAUCCAUCAUCUAAAUAAUUUUACACCAAAAAAAUGACAAAUGAUAUAGAAAUUGUAAUAAGCUUACUUUUGUUUUUUCUUUUCACGCUUUGCCUCGUCUUCUUUUUUCUAAAUUGAGCUCCCGAUGUUUUUUGUCGCUUAAUUUUGCAGUCCAUAAUGCCUUAAAAAAACUAAAUCAUUAUCACUGACACUCACACACAUUUCACAGUCACACAGAGACACCAACGGUGAUGACUGAGAAGUAUG
ensembl:lncRNA